AUUGAACGCUGGCGGCAGGCCUAACACAUGCAAGUCGAGCGGUAGCACAAGGGAGCUUGCUCCCUGGGUGACGAGCGGCGGACGGGUGAGUAAUGUCUGGGAAACUGCCUGAUGGAGGGGGAUAACUACUGGAAACGGUAGCUAAUACCGCAUAACGUCGCAAGACCAAAGAGGGGGACCUUCGGGCCUCUUGCCAUCAGAUGUGCCCAGAUGGGAUUAGCUAGUAGGUGGGGUAAUGGCUCACCUAGGCGACGAUCCCUAGCUGGUCUGAGAGGAUGACCAGCCACACUGGAACUGAGACACGGUCCAGACUCCUACGGGAGGCAGCAGUGGGGAAUAUUGCACAAUGGGCGCAAGCCUGAUGCAGCCAUGCCGCGUGUGUGAAGAAGGCCUUCGGGUUGUAAAGCACUUUCAGCGAGGAGGAAGGUGGUGAACUUAAUACGUUCAUCAAUUGACGUUACUCGCAGAAGAAGCACCGGCUAACUCCGUGCCAGCAGCCGCGGUAAUACGGAGGGUGCAAGCGUUAAUCGGAAUUACUGGGCGUAAAGCGCACGCAGGCGGUUUGUUAAGUCAGAUGUGAAAUCCCCGGGCUCAACCUGGGAACUGCAUUUGAAACUGGCAAGCUAGGGUCUCGUAGAGGGGGGUAGAAUUCCAGGUGUAGCGGUGAAAUGCGUAGAGAUCUGGAGGAAUACCGGUGGCGAAGGCGGCCCCCUGGACGAAGACUGACGCUCAGGUGCGAAAGCGUGGGGGAGCAAACAAGAUUAAAUACCCUUGGUGUCCCCGGGCGAAUUUCAUCAUUGAUUUUAAGCUUAUCGAUACGGCGAGCUCUGUGUGGAGGGCCUGUACCCAAGUUUUGUUCCUCUUAGGAGGGUUAAUUA
rnacentral:rRNA from 1 species